rnacentral:rRNA from 1 species
GACGAACGCUGGCGGCGUGCUUAACACAUGCAAGUCGAACGGAAAGGCCCUGCUUUUGUGGGGUGCUCGAGUGGCGAACGGGUGAGUAACACGUGAGUAACCUGCCCUUGACUUUGGGAUAACUUCAGGAAACUGGGGCUAUACCGGAUAGGAGCUCCUGCUGCAUGGUGGGGGUUGGAAAGUUUCGGCGGUUGGGGAUGGACUCGCGGCUUAUCAGCUUGUUGGUGGGGUAGUGGCUUACCAAGGCUUUGACGGGUAGCCGGCCUGAGAGGGUGACCGGCCACAUUGGGACUGAGAUACGGCCCAGACUCCUACGGGAGGCAGCAGUGGGGAAUAUUGCACAAUGGGCGGAAGCCUGAUGCAGCAACGCCGCGUGCGGGAUGACGGCCUUCGGGUUGUAAACCGCUUUCGCCUGUGACGAAGCGUGAGUGACGGUAAUGGGUAAAGAAGCACCGGCUAACUACG